GGGGACGUAGCUCAAAUGGUAGAGCGCGCGCUUCGCAUGCGUGAGGUAGGGGGAUCGAUGCCCCCCGUCUCCA
rfam:Coccomyxa subellipsoidea C-169, whole genome shotgun sequence.